GGAGGGGAGAGGAGGUGUGGGGGAUAAUAUUUGAAAGUAAAUAAAUAAAAUAACCAGUUAAAAAAAACUCAAAAAACAAAAAACCCUCUGAAUAGUAAGCCCAGUAGAAUGAGAAGCUUCCCUCAUGAUUCCUUCAGAAGUUGAAGUGGUCUACUGUCUGUGGAGAGUGGGAUUCAGUUGAAAGAACUCCAUCAUCUAAGGUGACUGUGAAGUUCUCAGGCUGCUUGCCUCAGACCUCUUCCAGUAAAUUGCACACCUGUUUGUUUAAGUUAGCUCAAGGUGGAUUUCUGAGAGUAGCAGCUAAGAAAAUUUGCCCUUAAAGAGACUUUACGUUGGGAUGAGAAAGGCUCUACCAGGCUUUCUGAUAUAUCAAAGUUCAUAAUUCUGAGUGAACAUUGACUUCAUCAACCACAUAGUAUAACACUUCCCACUUCUCUACCUUCUAAUUAUGACAUGGAGCAUGAUAUGUAUAAACGUAUUGCACAGAUGGUUCAAGGUAUUGCUCGAGCAAGGUUUUCUUUUUUAUUUUUAUAAUUAAACUUUUUAUUGAUUGUUACUAUAAAUAGUGUGUGUGUGUGUGUGUGUGUGUGUGUGUGUGUGUGUGCGUAUGUGUACCCACAUAAGUAAGAUGUGGGUACCCAUGUGUAGAGGUCUUAGAACAGAUUUCAGGGGUUGGUUCUGUCCUGCAAGGGAUCCAACUGAGAUUGUUAUGCUUGGAUGGGAAGCACCUUUACCCACUAUGCCGUCUCAUUGGCCCUUGGUAGGGAUUAAUAGACCUGCCUGGAAUCCUAUGUCUGAAAUCUUUGUGAAUCACCAUGCCAGAGAAGUUCGUGUUAAAGGGAGAUGAAUAUAUUUUGCAAAACAUAGCGUCAUUGCCACAGGGUAAGUAACAGUUACUAUCACCAUAGAGUCACAGGAUCUACAUAGAACAGCGGUUCUCAAUCUGUGGGCCACCAACCUUUGGGAAUCAAAUGACACUUUUGCAGAGGUCAGCUGUGAAAUAUCAGACAUCCUGCAUAUCAGAUAUUUACAACAUGGCUCUUAACAGUAGCAGCAUUGCAGUUAUGAAGUAGCAAUGAACGGACUUAUGGUUGCGCAUCACCAGAGCAUGAGGGACUAUAUUAAAGGGUCACAGCACUAGGAAGAUUGAGAUCCACUGACCAAGAACAUCUUCUGAUUUCCGGCUGAAGAGGGGGAGGAUCCAGGUGAGGGCUGCGUAAAGUCUCCCUGCGUGAGGGCUGUAUGUUGCUGGGAUCCUUUUCAAUCUGUGUUUCUCCUGCACAUAUCUCAAUAACCAGGAUCACUGGAACAAAAAAUUAACUUGGCAGUCACCUCUCAAGUCAUGCUUUGGUUUUAAACGAUAACUGAACUUCUGCCAAGCUGUUUCCCACAACCAAUCAUAGUCUGUGUGUUCUUUUCCAGCUACUUGCAAAAAAAAAAAAAAAGAAAGAAAAAAAAGAAAAAGAAAUCAGUUAUUUGUUAGAAAAAAAAAAGAGAGAAGACUUUCUCUUCAUUCAUUGCUUCCUGAACAGGUUAUGCUUUGUUUUCAAUUCUGUAAAUGUCUGGUCUCACCGGCUGUAUUUCAAUUGCUACCACCGUUAAGACGGCAGAUGACUGGGACAGUCUUGUUUUCUCUCAGUAUUACAAUGCACAAUGUGAUAAAGGUUGAGCUCUCCUCAAAGAUGUUAAGUAGAGAAAUUCACCUAUGUAAGUUUAUAGAUAUAUAAACCCGGGUCUGUCCUAUUCAAGGGUCCUCCUUUAACUUUUGACAUUGAGCAGUGCAAAGCAGAGAGAGCUCUGGCUGUUACCAUUCAAGCCUUCCUAGGUUUCUGAGACAGCACAGUAAAAUCACCCCUGCUUUUAUUCUAUUCCAGUCAUUCCCACCUCAGCCGACUCUUCAUGUGUCUCCCUUUGUCGGCGCUCACUGAUGUCUGGUAACUGGUUUCCUCCUCUUGUGUUGCUGCACGACGAGGUCAGAUUUGGGUCAAACAACUUCAAACCAUGUGUGACGCUGAGCUGGCAUCACUGAAGUUGUGUUUAUGGCACGAGUGAAAUAUCAACAGAAAAUAUUACAGUGGCUGGCUCCCUGCUCCCCAGAGUCAAAUGGCCUCUCAUUAGUCAGUUUGUUUAUAAAUGUAGAACAGACCCAUUGAAAGACAUGUCGGGACCUGGGACUGGGUAUCUGAGUGGCUAUUUUCCCCUGACCUCAAGAGAACUCAGAGACAGACAUGUUUCAGACACCUGUGAGGGAGAGAGUUGUGGAAGAGUCAGGCAGGCUCACACAGGGGAUGGAGGGUGUUAGCAUUUGGAAUUCCUCUUCUUCCUUCUGUCUCCUGACAGCUCUGCUCAGCAGUCCAGCUCAUUCUGAAGCUGGAGGACAUGGGGAAUUGUAGGUCAGCCUCUCAAGGAGAGGUGGGCAUGGAAUGACAAGGGAAGGCGUCUCUGGUGUAGUCACUAAGAAGGAAAAAAAAUUGUGCUGAUAAAACUGGAGGCGAUGUUCUUUUAUCAUUUAGAAUUUUUAUUUUGAACGUCUUGAAAUAGCAUUGUUAAACAGAUAAGAAUUCAAUUAUUUUUCUUAUCAGACAGUACCUUCCUGGAUUAAAAAUGACCUUACAUUUCAAUGCUGAACAAUGUUUAUAAAACCGCGGCAUAUUCCCCUGAACUCCUGCUAGCAAAAGAGACUGUAAUGCAAUUUCUAGAACCUUACUCACUCCACACUUAGAGGGGAAGCCUUCUGGAUAUCAGGGUGCUUUGGGUUUGCCUGUAAGCAAAAGGAGGCAGCAGGAGGGUGCUGGGCAGCUUCUGAAGGCAGAUCAGAGGUGAGGAUGCAGCUGGCAACAGGCUUGCUGGAAUGUGUGUCAGAACCCGGAGCCUCCAUGGCAACAUUCUCAGGCCCCGUGACCAUCAGGCUGGCUGGAUUCCCAGGGAGUCACAUGGAAAAGCCCGGAGACCGGAUGGAAGAUGAUACCGUUUUCCAGCCUCUCCUAUUUCCUCCAACUUCCUGUUUGUCCGUUGUCAGCCACUGUGGGACAAGAGAAUGGGAUCUGAAGAGUCUUCCUUAUUGGAACCUCAUUGGGACUCCCAGAAACAGAGGAGAAAUGGUCGCUGUCAUUUUAAGCCGUGGAGGUCUGAGAUGAUUCAUUACACAAAGGUAACCCAAGCAAUUUUAAGUGCCAGUUCGAUUCCAAAGUGUCCCCCAAACACAUAUAAUUCACUCUCGUGACACAGCAUGGAUAAUCACGAGCACAUCUGUAAGUGGUCAGUGGCCCCCUGAGCAGCAACCAUGGGAGGUACUGCCAAUUUUAAGAUCUGUACUAACGAAAGAUAUGAAGGAAAACAAACCAUAACCCUUACGAUUGAUGGAAUGCGGCAGUGCAUGCGCAGUGGGAGAGACAGAGACAAUGAAAGCAUUAGAGAACUUGCCGGUGAAACUAUUUUGUUUUGAAAAACCUUAGUAGUUUGUGGUUAAAACGACAUGAGUUUAGUAAGAGCAACAACGACAAAAAACAAAGCAAAACAGAACGACACGACUAAAAUGACAGUGAAAUCACUGAAAUUUCACCAGGAAGAUAUAAACGCCUAGAUAUUUUAGUGCGUAUGGACACAUACAGAUGUGGCACAAAAAAUGAUUCAGCUGAGAUUGUCUUGCACUGGAUCAGUGUCCAUACAGAUAUAUGGAUAUUAUAAACAUGAUAUAUGUUAUACCACAUCACUUGUUUAACCAUUUAGUGAUGGCAUUUUAUUUUUUCUUUUCAAUUUUAUGAGCAAAGCAGUGGGUUAUAUUUGCACACAUAUGUUGUCCCCUGGGUAAUUAUCUUUGUGUGUGUGUGUGUGUGUGUGUGUGUGUGUGUGUGUGUGUGUGUGUGUAUGUGCGCGCGCGUGCGCGUGUGCGUGUAUGUGUGUAUUUCUAUGUAUAUGAGAUUUUUGGAUUGAAUGGGGUUUAUUUAUAACUGAUUCUAAAAAAUCUCAUUUAUAGUUGUGACGCGCCUGGAAAGUCUGUGUUUCCUUAUCCUCUCUAGCAGCUGUUGACGAAGACAAUUCUUCCCUCUUGGGCCGUGUUCAGCUCUGGCCAUUUAUGUGAUGAGUUGUGUGGUUUUAAAAGAUUUCCUUUUUAUUGUGUUUGCAUCUCAGCAAGGGAUGCAACUGAACCUCUUUGUACUUUUGUCAAUUUGAACUUUUUUGUGAAUCGAGUCUUGAUUGUCUUUUGGCCAUCUUUCUUUUCAUAAGUAGUUUGUGGGAACACUUUGUGUAAUAGUAGUAAUUCUUUAUGCAUUGUUUGUCUUGCUAUUUUUUCCCUGUGUUUCAAACAUUAUCAUUGUGGUGUUUUGGUUUUUUUUUGCCCAGAAAUUCUAUGUGAAUUGAUUUCACUCUAUAGUUUUUGGCUUCUUGUGUUAAAAGCAUUCACCUAUAUUCAUGUUUGUGCAGUUAUUAUGAAUUUUAUUAUACUUAUAAUUUAUGAAAUUUAACUUCUGUAAUGAGGCCAGUUGCCUCAUAUCGUUUGAUGAAUAAUACUCUUUCUCCAGUUAUUGGAAAUAAUACAUUUAUCACGUACUAAGUUCUCUUUACAUUUUCAUCUGUGUUUGAGAUUCUUUGGAAAUGUUGUUUUUUUUUUCCUCCACGUAACUCGCAGUUCAUGCUAGUGUUUCUGUCACUGUGAAAUACUAGGAGUUACUCUUUAAAGGUGAAAGUUCACGCUCUUCUUCCUGCUCUUUGAAUGGCUUCUGUUAUGUUCUUUACAGAUGAAUUUUAAAAUAAUUGUUACAAUCUGAAAAAGAGGAGAUGGCAUAGCCAGUAAAAGCUCUCCCUGUGCAAGCAUGAGUACCUGGAUUUGGAUCUCCAGAGCUCAAGUAGAAAGUCAAGAGCAUUGGUGCCCGCAAUGCCAGUGCAGGAGUGGCUGAGCGGGAACAUGGCUGGGGCUCGACUACUGACAGUCUCGUCCUGGGGCUGGGGAGAGACCCUGUCUCAAAGGAAUAAGCUAGGAACAGUGGAGCAGGGCAUGGGUGUUCUCUCCUGGGCAUGUGCACCCAAGUACACUUGUAUGCAUAUAGCAAAUAUACCAGGCAGAAACACACACACACACACACACACACACACACACACACACACACACACACACACACACAAUUCAUGUAAGUGAAAAAUAUUGAAAUAACCCCAUGGUGAUUUUUUGGGAUUUAUUGUCUAUAUUCCAGAGAGCUGACUCCUUUCUAGCCCUGCAUCUUCCUGACCAGAAACAAAAACCAUCUUUUCAUUUAGCCAAUUAAGUUUUAUUCUCUGUUUGCUUUUUUACAAUUUCUUCUCUAAAAAGGAUUUAUUUGAUUUAUUUCUUUUAUGUAUGUGAGUGCAAUGUCACUGUCUUCAGACACACCAGAAGAGGGCAUCAGAUCCCAUUACAGAUGGUUGUGAGCCACCAUGCGGUUGCUGAAAAUUGAACUCAAGACCUCUGGAAGAACAGUCAGUGCUCUUAACCCCUGAGCUAUAUCUCCAGCCCUGCUUUUUCAGUGUUUUGAUGUCACAACAAAAGGCUUUCCAUGCCAUGUUUUACUUAAAGUUUGUAGCUCAUGUCUACGAUACCAGCACUUGGGAGGUCAUGGCAGCAGGCAGGGGGAUUGCUAUAAUCCUGAAUCCAGCCUGGGCUCCAUAGUGAGAAUCUGUCCCCAAAACAACAGAAGUUUCCGGGAGAGUCAGAAGUGGCAAGUCAGUUGUGUGUUUUGCUGGGGCAAACAUGUGACGGAAUGUUUUCCUGAAGCAGACACAGGUGAAAGGAUGUUUUGCUAAAGCGAGCACGUAAGAGGACGUGUGAUGAAAGACCCUUCACUAACAACACAAAUGCACUGGUUCACCUUACACUGCAUAGGUGAACUCCGUCUGUUAUGCUUCCACAGAGAGAAAUGCAGCAAAAAAACUGGCGGAGUUCUGGCAACUUCUUGCUACUUCUGUGGAUUUGGGUCUAUUGGCAGAGUGACGUCUGCUGAUACGGACUCAUGUGGGGUUUUGCUAUGACUGAGGCAAAACGCAUGGAGGACACGUGAUGUUUGGAGGGAGUAUAAAAAGGACUCAAAGGACAGCGACUGGGGCUUACAUAGACAGCUUUGCAACACAUCUUGGCCUCACCUCUUAGUCUUCACUGAUUUUUACUUCGUUGAGAGAGGCACGGCAGAGAGAGGCAGGUGUCCUUCUCUCUGGUGGUCCUAAUCAUUCCUGCUGAGUCAUGCAGAUUUGGCUGAGGCCUGGCUGUUUCUGUUAGAUCAUGCCACCAUUGCCCAUGUGUGUUUGCUAUUCUGACAUGACUGAGCAGGACUGCUGGUGUAUUUGUAAAGUGUUUGUGAGUGCAUCAAGCUGCUGCUGCUGAUUUUCUGACAAUGCAGAUCAGAUUUGCUCCAAAGAACAAUUUCUAAACAGGUCCACUUCCUAUAUCCUAAUAACCUUUCUUUUCUACUACCUCUUGGUGGGUAGUGGGUAGAAGUGUUUUUAAACACUUUUUAAAGUGUUUAAAAAACUCCUAUUAAAAAUAGGGUUUAAAAUUUUAAGCUUACAAGGGUCUGCUCAUAUUUUUGUACUAUUCAUUAAAACUUUCCACCCUUGCAUAACAUUGUGAGCACAUUCUUUUUAUUGUAUGUUUAUUUCUCAGUUCUCACAAGGAUGCAGGUGCUUGAGUCCCUUCAGUAACGUGACACAGUUUUUGUAUUUAGUCUGCACACAUCUGCUUGUGUAUUUUAGAUAAUUCCUGAAUUACCUAUAAUAUCCAAUACAAUGUAAAUGCUGUGUGGACAGGGGUUUGCUGGUUCAGUCUUUGUUGUUUGGGGUGUAAUGACACAGGGAAACAAAGGUCAGUACUGGAACAAUAUAAUUUCUGGAAUGUUUGCAACUUGAAAUAGGGAACUUGCAGAUGUGGAGAGGUGACUGGAUAUUCUAUUUUGGUUUUAAGGAUUAAUAAUAAUGAUAAGUUAUGUUUGGAAAGAAAAGUUUCUCUCAAACAGUAAACUAAAUAAAACACCAGUAACAUAACACUGGGUGGUGUUGGCCACCUUCCGUGAAGCAUAAAAGAUGGCAGUGACUACAACUGUGUAGUUGAAGAUGCUACUGUGUGAGAAUUGCCAGGGGCACGCAGGCUCUCGAGGACUGUGAGUAUGCUUCCUGAUCUCAAUAUCCGAUGUUUUAUUUCUUUUCCUUAACUGUGAUGGUGAAAAGGACCGAGUCAUCCCUAAAAAAGUGUCAGCCUGAGACACCAACCCACAGGCAACAUCACAAGCCCUGACUGAGUAACAAUGCCCUUGUGAUUUGCAAAGUGCAGAGGCGGUCAGUGCAGUGUAGAGAAGAGACCAGCACAGGAGGCGGCAGACCAGGGACACGGCCUCUGCUGAAGCCCAGAUCUGAGUUGACUAGGGCUGAAACCAAAGAGCAGAAGGCUGCAGCAAAGACAAUCCCUUCUCCUGAGUUUCUGGAAAGCUCACACUGGGAGGGAUUUCCUCAUGCAUGGCUGGCUUCACCCAAGUGACUUUAACAUUAACCGAGGACAGGAAAAUGCUUUCUUCUGUUGACUACUACACACCAUGGGGAAAAAUUUGUUUCCCAAAGCCAAAAUAAAAUGCUUAUCAUAUUAGGAUACUUUUGUACUGAUAUUUAACUGAUGGAAAUGUGUACUUAAAGGGUACAUUUUAUGUAGGCAUGCGGUCUAAGAAAUGCAUAGUCGUUUAUGUACAGCUCAACUUAUCAUGAUAUAUUUGUGUAAGCCAUCUCCAUAAGGGGUGCUGUGAGCAGAGACAUAGACUAAUUACAGUAAGAAUAAAACAGAACUUCAGCAUAAUUUAUGUUCUCGAUCAAAUGAGGAAGUUUGGUAAUAAAGAGAAAAGAAAUAC